AAUACGUUCGAACGACCACUUAUUGUUUCCUAAGUAGUCCAUGCUUUUGCCAUGGCACAAUCGGCAAUCACGCAUUUUUUCACAUUCAUGUGCAUUAACUUCGAUUGGCACUCUUGAUUGACUUGGAGUUUGCCAACCCCAGAAGUCAGUAUAGAUGUGUUUCUUUUCCAGCCAUAUGGUACACGAAUGGCCAACAAAACGGGUGAUUUGGGGAAGAGUAGAAUGGCAUGCACUCUUUUGGGCGAGUUACCAAAAGGACUCCAGGGGAAACGACUUUUGGUUGCAGGUUUCCGACACUUGGACAUCUGGCACACGACGCCAGGACAUCUGCCCAUCGACUUUAGGACUAGUGGUUCCCGACAUUUGGACACACAACAAAAUGUUGCUGAACCCAAGUAGCAGAAUACUCGACCAGUACUCAGCGACGAAAAGACUUCCAGUUAAACGACGAGUGGACUCCCAGGCAAUCGACGUUCGAACUCCCGGGAACUCCUCAUCCAGCGACAAAAGGACUCCCAAUCCAGUGUCGCACGGAUUUGCUUAUUUGUUGCAGCUGAAGGAUCGUUAAGAACAUAGGUAUUUUUAAUUGACUAUGAUUAUUGUAUAGAUAUUUGUGCUUACAUUUAUCGGCUGGAUAACUUAUUUAUUUUUAUUAUAGAAGAAAAGUUUAAUUACAAUUAUGUAAAUAUUGUACUCUGAAAUGGAACGAACAUGGGUAACCAUGUUUGUUCCAGUCAGACUUCUUUCCCUUCUUGCAUUCUGAAAUGGAACGAACAUGGGUAACCAUGUUUGUUCCAGUCAGACUUUUGACCCUUAUUGUAUUCUGAAAUGGAACGAACAUGGGUAACCAUGUUUGUUCCAGUCAGACUUCAGAACACAAACAGAUUGUAGUUCAAAUGUUAAUGUAUUAAACAACAUAAAUACAAAAUUCUUCGUUCA